rnacentral:rRNA from 1 species
UGUGCCCAGCUACCGAUGUAGAUUAGCCAUGCUAGUUGCACGAGUUCAGACUCGUAGCAGAUAGCUCAGUAACACGUGGCCAAACUACCCUAUGGAUCCGGAUAACCUCGGGAAACUGAGGCUAAUCCGGAAUAGCGUUCAUCGCCUGGAGUGGCACGAACGCGAAACGUUCAGGCGCCAUAGGAUGUGCCUGCGGCCGAUUAGGUAGACGGUGGGGUAACGGCCCACCGUGCCCAUAAUCGGUACGGGUUGUGAGAGCAAGAGCCCGGAGACGGUAUCUGAGACAAGAUACCGGGCCCUACGGGGCGCAGCAGGCGCGAAACCUUUACACUGCACGCGAGUGCGAUAAGGGGACUCCAAGUGCGAGGGCAUAUAGUCCUCGCUUUUCACGACCGUAAGGUGGUCGUAGAAUAAGUGCUUGGCAAGACCGGUGCCAGCCGCCGCGGUAAUUUGGGGGGGCGCGAGUGAUGACCGCUAUU